AGAAACAGGGGGAAGGCACACCGGGUCAUACGUAGGGGGGAAGCGUUAAACGGAAGUACUGGGCGUAAAGCGUGGUCAGGCGGCUUAUUAAGUACGAUGUGAAAUCCCGAGGCUCAACCUAGGAACUGCAUUUGAAACUAAGAAACUAGAGUAUCGUAGAGGGAGGUAGAAGUCCAGGUGUAGCGGUGAAAUGCGUAUAUAUCUGGAGGAAUACCAGUGGCGAAGGCGACCUCCUGGACGAAAACUGACGCUCAAGCACGAAAGCAUGGGGAGCAAACAGGAUUAGAUACCCGUGUAGUC
rnacentral:rRNA from 1 species